rnacentral:rRNA from 1 species
GAUGAACGCUGGCGGCGUGCCUAAUACAUGCAAGUCGAGCGAACAGACGAGGAGCUUGCUCCUCUGACGUUAGCGGCGGACGGGUGAGUAACACGUGGAUAACCUACCUAUAAGACUGGGAUAACUUCGGGAAACCGGAGCUAAUACCGGAUAACAUGUUGAACCGCAUGGUUCAACAGUGAAAGACGGUCUUGCUGUCGCUUAUAGAUGGAUCCGCGCCGCAUUAGCUAGUUGGUAAGGUAACGGCUUACCAAGGCAACGAUGCGUAGCCGACCUGAGAGGGUGAUCGGCCACACUGGAACUGAGACACGGUCCAGACUCCUACGGGAGGCAGCAGUAGGGAAUCUUCCGCAAUGGGCGAAAGCCUGACGGAGCAACGCCGCGUGAGUGAAGAAGGUCUUCGGAUCGUAAAACUCUGUUAUUAGGGAAGGACAAAUGUGUAAGUAACUAUGCACGUCUUGACGGUACCUAAUCAGAAAGCCACGGCUAACUACGUG